CGUUCAAAGGAAAACCACCUGGAGGAAGGGGGUAGAAAAGAUGCACGUGGGGGGCCAGGGGCUUCCACACCAACCUCAGGUCUGGCACAGGUCAGGGCAGUGGGUCUCUCCUCCCACAUUCCACAGCUCAGCGGGCCACAAACAGAAAAGGGUACCUGAGACCACAGAGAUGCUCCCGUGGAUCAUUUGCAGGCUCCCAGGUAAGUGGUGAGGUGGGCUAAACGCAAAAGCCCUCCCAAGAACAGAAGCAAAACAGAAUCCAGUUAACAUUUGGGCAGGAAAAGACAGGGCCACCCUCUCCUGCUCUCCCCAUCUCUGUCGGAAGCUCUCCGAUGUGCAGACACACCCACACAAGCCCAUCGAUCCACUCUGUGUGUGACUUAACCCAGAGAUACAGAAACAGCUGCUUAAGGAGGGAAGACAAAAGGGAAAAAAAGAUGCACACAGCCACCAACACACCCUCAACACGCUACUCCCCACAGGGCCCGGCAGGUAAAAAGGCUGUGGCUCUGGUGAGUCAACGCCUGGCCGGCUGAUCGCCCAACAGAAGAGAAGAGGGCCAGAGAGCAGCAGUGUCUACCAUACUCCACUGGAGCCAGAGACGCAGAGACACAGCUGGCGGCCGAGCGGAAGCCCCGUCUGAAGCAAGGCCAGGCUCAGCUGCUGCAGGAACAGGGAGCUCCAGAGACCCUGGCUGGAGAAACUUCACUCGGCACGACUCCCUGCUGGUGUCACCACUGCUCCUUGGGGUGGAAUAAGAGCUGAGAAGAACCAGGAACUAGGCGUUGCCAACUUGCUCCCCAGAACAGCUCGGCCGAUUUACCUGCCGGUGGCAGGUGGGAGAGGCCAUCCCACCCACCUUUGCAGCCCGACGUCCUGGCAUCCUCCGCAUCUCUGACACUGCUCAACCCACACUCAAAGCAUAUUUCCUUGCCUGGGCCUUGGAGUCAGGCAAGUCUGGGACACACACCGGCUGACCUGCCCCUCAGUUUUCUUAUAUGGAAACAAGUGGAGGUUCGGAACCCAACAGCACUGAACUCAUGUCAGCCAGAGCUGUUCUGCAGAUCCCCCUAUGUCUCAGCUGGGCUUGUUGCUGCUGAGGCCCACCAGGUGAGAGCCCUGGGAGGCCAGACACCACCCAGACGCCUUGGUGCUCUCCAGAGUACCUCAUGGAGGAGGCUUGGUUAAAACAAAAUCGGUAAA